AUACCGUACUGAAAACCGACUCUGGUGGACUUGUAUAUAUACUCAGGCCAUAGAAUAAACCAUGUUAAAGGAACUCGGCAAAAUGCACCCGUGACUUAGGAGGAUGGGUGGCAAAUAGGACUCAGGAAAGAGCCGACAGCGACUGUUUACCAAAAACCCAAGACAGCGCUAACAAUUUUAGGGGGAUUAUAAUAAUAGUCUCCGAUUUGGAUGUAGACUGUCUGACGCCUGCCCAAAGGCUAACGCAAACGGCGGCUGUAACCAUGACGGUCCUAAGGUAGCAAAAUUCCUUGACGUUUAAUUGGCGUCCUGCAUGAAUGGCUGAACGACUGUCGGGCUGUCUCUAAUAUGGAAUCUGUGAAUUUGAAAUGUUCGUGCAGAUGCGAACAAGUUGGCAAGGGACGAAGAGACCCUAUGCAGCUUUACGGGGUGAUAAGAGUUGGUCGCGUAUAGUCUUAGUGGGUUUGGAAACUGACGGGUAGAUACUACCUUGUUACCACAUAUUACUAGACAUGGACUCUAAUCCUCCAGUUUUUCUGGGGCGGACGCUUCCUGAACAGUAACGGGAGUGAGCAACGGCAUAAUUUAAACUUAAAUGGUAUGUUGUGCUUGACUGCAAGAACCACUAUUCGAGCAGGUAUGUAUGCAUUUGUAAUGAUUUACUAGUGCAAAAGUAGGUAUUAAUGACCCGGGUUACAUUUUUUU
rnacentral:rRNA from 1 species